rnacentral:rRNA from 1 species
UACGGAGGGAGCUAGCGUUGUUCGGAAUUACUGGGCGUAAAGCGCGCGUAGGCGGCUUUGUAAGUUAGAGGUGAAAGCCCGGAGCUCAACUCCAGAACUGCCUUUGAUACUGGAGAGCUUGAGUCCGGGAGAGGUGAGUGGAACUCCGAGUGUAGAGGUGAAAUUCGUAGAUAUUCGGAAGAACACCAGUGGCGAAGGCGGCUCACUGGCCCGGUACUGACGCUGAUGUGCGAAAGCGUGGGGAGCAAACAGG